rnacentral:rRNA from 1 species
CACAGAGUUAGCCGGUGCUUGUUCUCCCGGUACCGUCACACACCUCGAAAGGCGUCGUUCGUCCCGGGCCAAAGGGUUUACAACCCGAAGGCCUUCCUCCCCCACGCGGCGUCGCUGCGUCAGGCUUUCGCCCAUUGCGCAAGAUUCCCCACUGCUGCCUCCCGUAGGAGUCUGGGCCGUCUCUCAGUCCCAAUGUGGCUGGCCAUCCUCUCAGACCAGCUACCCGUCAUCGCCUUGGGAAGCCAUUACCCCCCAACUAGCUGAUAGGCCGCGAGCCCCUCCCAGAACCGCGCUUGCACGCGUUUCGCCUCGCCCCCCAACGGGGCAGGCCGUAUGCGGUAUUACCCGGCCGUUGGGCCGGCUAUCCCCCACUCCAGGGCAGGUCGCUCACGUGUUCCGCACCCGUUCGCCGGUGACUGGUUGCCCAGCCCCCUGACUUGCAUGUGUUAAGCACGCCGCCAGCGUUCGUCCUGAGCCAGGAUCAAACUCU